GGGUCCCCAAUUUGCUCUUUAAGGGCUCUUUAAGGUUGGGGGGGGUACCCAAUUUGGGGGUUUAAGAGUGAAGGGGUCCCCAAUGUGGGGGGUCCCCAAUUUGGGUCCCCUAUACGGGGGGGGGCCUUUAAGGGUGGGGGAUCCCCAAAUUGGGGGGGGGGGUUUAGAGUGAAGGGGUCCCCGUUUGGGGGGGGUCCCCGAUUUUGGGGGGGGGGUUAAGAGUGAAGGGAUCCCUAAUUUGGGGGGGUCCCCAAUAUGAGAGGGGGUCUCAAAAAGAGGGGGGGUCCCCAAUUUGGGGGGGUCCCAAGCAAAAAAGGGGGGGGCCUUUAAGGGUGGGGAUCCCCAAAUGGGGGGGGUUAAGACUGAAGGGCGGUCCCCAUUUGGGGGGGUCCCCGAUUUGGGGGGGGGGGUUUAAGAGUGAAGGGAUCCCUAAUUUGGGGGGGGUCCCCAAUAUGAGGGGGGUCCAAAAAGAGGGGGUCCCCCAAUUUGGGGGGUCCCCAAAAAGAGGGGGGGGGCCUUUAAGGGUGGGGGAUCCCCAAAAUUGGGGGGGGUUUAAGACUGAAGGGGGUCCCCAAUUUGGGGGGUCCCCGAUUUUGGGGGGGGGGUUUAAGAGUGAAGGGAUCCCUAAUUUGGGGGGUCCCCAAUAUGAGGGGGGUCUCAAAAAGAGGGGGGGGUCUUUAAGGGUGGGGGGUCCCCAAUUUGGGGGGGGUCCCCGAUUUGGG
rnacentral:lncRNA from 7 species